AUUCGGUCGAAAGUAUAUUUCUCGCAUAUUCAUUUGAUUGAAAAUCAAGACGCGCGACGUCGUGUCGUGUCGUCGCGUCUCGCGUCACUUUUUACACGUGAAGUUGACCGCAUAUGGAAAAUGAUGUCGUUUCUUCAUCGCAUUCACUUUUCAUUCGCGAAAUGCAGCGGAUAGGGGAUGACACGGCGGAACGGAGCUCUCAAACAAGUGAAAACGCGCAAUCAAAUAUGAAUGUGGUGAAUAUAAGAUGAUUGGCUCCAAAUGAGUGCUGUUGUAACUUAUUGAAUUGGUGCUGUCACAAAGCAAAUAAUGGGAAGAGAAGAGAGAUGAAAAUAGACUUGAUAAUUUUGAGAAGCAGAAGGAGGAGAAGGAGAAGGAAGAGACUCAGAAAAAGCAAUAGAGCAACUUUGAAUCAUGUAACCACGUAGCUGAUAACUCCACUGCUGCGCAUCAGUCAGUCUUCCUUCUUCUUCUUUUAUUGGUACGCGCAGUCACCUCGGCCAUGAUCAGGCCAUUAGCCAGUUAGUGAAGAUGCAGUAAAAUAUGCACUUUGCACGGCUCUGAGAGGUCGGGACAUCGGUCGGUGAGUGACAAAAAUCUUAUCAGGUAAUGAAUCUGUGAAAGGUAUAUAGAUCUAUCAUUAUAUUGAGAAAUGAAUAUAACGCUUUAUAGAUCCAUUACUUUAAAAUGGAAUAGCUA